UCUCAAUCUGCUAUUUUGGAAACUCUGAAAAAUAUGUUCAGAUGCUGUUCAACAGGCUAGAAUUUGAUUGCUGUGCUCAUCCUGUGACAACCCAACUCGAGACAACAGCCACGCCCAUGGAGACAGCAGACCUGAUACCCACUGUGUCCAUCAAUGGAGUGCUGCAAUGCUGCC